rnacentral:rRNA from 1 species
UACGACUACAUAUCAGGCAUAUCAAUAAGCGGAGGAAAAGAAACUAACAAGGAUUCCCUUAGUAACGGCGAGUGAAGCGGGAAGAGCUCAAAUUUGAAAUCUUCAAGGUUCUACCUUGACGAAUUGUAGUUUAAAGAAGUGUUUUCUGUUAGAUGAGUAGCAAAAGUUCCUUGGAAUGGGACAUCAUAGAGGGUGAGAAUCCCGUAUUUGGUUAUUCAUUCUAGCUUUGUGAUACACUUUCAAAGAGUCGGAUUGUUUGGGAAUGCAGUCCAAAAUGGGUGGUAAAUUUCAUCUAAAGCUAAAUAUUGGCGAGAGACCGAUAGCGAACAAGUACCGUGAGGGAAAGAUGAAAAGAACUUUGAAAAGAGAGUUAAACAGUACGUGAAAUUGUCAAAAGGGAAGCGUUUGACACCAGUGUUGUUUUUCCGAAAAUCAAUUACGAAUGGCUUGAUUUUGUGUUGUAUUGACCUUAUCAGCUUUCUUCACUUUUUUCGAGUCUUUCUUAAUGCACUUUUCGGUUAACAAGUCAACAUCAAUUUCUUUUGUUGUAAAAGAGUAUUCGGAAGGUGGCUUUCUUUUCGGAGAGAGUGUUUAUAGCCCUAUACUUCUACAAUCGGAGAGAUUGAGGUCUGCAGCGUAGAUCCUUCGGGGUUAGAUACACUUGUGCUAAGUUGUAGCCUUGUCAUAGACAACAUUGUUGACUAUGCUCUAGUCAUGUAGGCUCACUCGCUGAUGCUAUUUUACCUACGCUUAGGAUGUUGAGUAGCGACAUACGCAC